UAAAAUCCAGCUUCCCGUAUGAUCACCGUAGUUAAGCAACCUCGAGCCUUGUCAGUACCUAGAUGGGUGACCCUUGGGAAUACCAGGUGCUGCUAU